rnacentral:rRNA from 1 species
GUGAGGAAUAUUAGGCAAUGGGGGAAACCCUGACCUAGCGACGCCGCGUGAAGGAUGAAGGUUUUCGGAUUGUAAACUUCUUUUAUGAGGGACGAUAGUGACGGUACCUCAUGAAUAAGCCACGGCUAACUACGUGCCAGCAGCCGCGGUAAUACGUAGGUGGCGAGCGUUGUCCGGAUUUACUGGGUGUAAAGGGCGAGUAGGCGGGCUUGCAAGUCAGAUGUGAAAUACCGAGGCUCAACUUCGGAGCUGCAUUUGAAACUGUAAGUCUUGAGUGAUGGAGAGGCAGGCGGAAUUCCCAGUGUAGCGGUAAAAUGCAUAGAUAUUGGGAAGAACACCAGUGGCGAAGGCGGCCUGCUGGACAUUAACUGACGCUGAGGAGCGAAAGUGUGGGGAGCAAACAGGAUUAGAAACCCUAGUAGUCC